rnacentral:lncRNA from 1 species
ACCUUUUUGCCCUCCCGCUCGCUAUCAUGGACAUCGUGGACCUAACUCACACGGCCAGCCGGGAGCGUGCCCCGCGCACCAGCCUCUUCGGGAGCUCGGCGCCGAGCAAAAGCGGCUUCCUGUUUGGCAGUUCUCCGCCUGUGACGAGCGCGUUCACUACCGCGUCGUCGCCCACUUCAGCCAACACCACCUGGGCGGGCAUGGGAAGCACUUCCACCACCUGGGCGCCGGAGGGACUGCAGCAGACGCAGAGCCUCACGCGCGGCAGCAUGGACAUACCGCGCUCGACCGAGGUGCCGCCGCUGGCAAGGCGCUCAAGCAUGGAGGCCUCGCUUCUGACCUUCUCCCGCAGCUUCAAGCGCACAUCAGGCUUCGGCAACUGAGGCGCACGAGCGGCGAGGGAGCCGACGCGUCAAGCGAUCGUCAGCGAUGGGCAGUUAACAAAGGUGGCAUGGUGGCGCUUUUGGGGCGCACCCACCCGCAGAGAGG